rnacentral:misc_RNA from 1 species
UGAAAAAUGGAAAGGCAGCCAAUCCCAAACUACUAAUUUUGAACAAUGUGACCUUUGAUGAUGCUGGGAAGUAUGCAUGUGUUGUUUCUGAUGACCUAGGCAGCUCGUCUAACAAAAGUACUUGGAUAACUGUUCUUCCAGAAUCUCUGGUAGUUGAAUAUGGUGGAAAUUCUGAUAUGCCCCUCGCAAGAGAAGUUAAACAAGAUAUUCCCAGUGCUCCUUACUUCACCAAACCUGAGAGAAUGAAUGAACUUGUUGCUACACCUGCUGGUAAUGCUGUGAGCUUAAGAUGUGCAGCGGACGGGAAUCCUACGCCCAAAAUUAUUUGGCUCAAAGAUGGAGUUCCUAUUGAAAAAAGCAAUCAUGUUCAUAUGCAGAAAUGGUCCCUAAAACUGGAGCAUUUAACUAUUGCUGAUCAAGGGUUAUACACUUGUGUUGUAUCAAAUACAGAAGGAAGCAUAAGUUUCAACUUUACAGUGGAAGUUGUUGAAAGAAUACCACAUCGUCCUAUUAUGAUAGAAAAUUAUCCUUCUAACUUGACAGUUGCUGUUGGAGAAACAGCUGUAUUUGAAUGCAGAUUUAUUAGUGAUCUUCAUCCUGCUUUGGAAUGGGUCAAGUACAUAGAAGUAAAUGGAUCUUCAUUUGAUGCAUUGAAUAUGCCAUAUACAAAAACAGUUGAGUCCACAAACACGAACAAUAGUGGUCCUGAAUUCCUAGUCUUGGAGAAUGUAUCUUUCGAAGAUGCUGGAAAGUAUGCUUGUUUGGUUUCUAAUACUUUCGGUUUAUCUCAGCAGAAUGCGUGGCUGACGGUUCUUCCAGAAUCAGAUGUGAGAGAGCUGGAUGAUAGUAAUAGUCCACAAAUUUGGGUAUUUGCUGCAUUAAUAGCCAUAGGUGCACUUCUUCUAUGUUUAGCAUUGCUGCUUUUUAUGUAUCGACGUCACAAAAUGGAACAGCGGAGAAUCAGAUUACUUGCCAGUAAGCCAGAUAAUGUUUUCUUUAAGAAGAAGGUGGUUUUAAUACACGAGACAUCUGGAAGCUCUGAAAAUGGACUAGCUCCACUUGUGAAAAUCCAAGCAUUUGACCAGCCCCUGUAUGAUUGUCACUCAGCAUGUAUUUCAGAGUAUGAAAUACCACCUGAUCCUGUAUGGGAGGUUCCUAGAGAAAAGUUAAUAAUUGGUAAGGGUUUAGGUCAAGGUGCCUUUGGUCAAGUCAUGCAAGCCGAGGCUAUUGAUUUAUUUGGAGACAAGAAAUCUGUGACAGUUGCUGUAAAGAUGCUGAAAGAGGGUCAUGGUGACCAAGAUGCGAUUGAUUUAAUAUCUGAAAUGGAGAUGAUGAAAGUCAUAGGUAAACACAUUCACAUCAUUAACUUGCUCGGAUGCUGCACACAGAAUGGCCCUUUGUACGUAAUUGUGGAAUAUGCAGCCAAUGGAAAUUUGAGAGAUUUUUUGCGUGCUCGCAGACCAGUACCUGGGUAUGAGGUUUCCAAUACUGAUCGAGAAGUUUUAACUGAAAAAAGUCUGGUUACCUUUGCAUACCAAGUUGCAAAAGGAAUGGAAUAUUUAUCAUCAAAAAAGUGCAUUCACCGUGAUCUAGCUGCUAGAAAUGUUUUAGUUAUGGAAGAUAAAGUGCUGAAAAUAGCAGAUUUUGGUUUUGCUCGUGAUAUUCAUGCAAACGAUUAUUAUCGCAAGCGGGCAAAUGGUUUACUUCCCAUAAAGUGGAUGGCUCUGGAAUCUCUCAUAGAUCGAAUUUAUACUACUCAAAGUGAUGUAUGGUCUUUUGGUGUUCUAAUGUGGGAAAUUAUGACUCUUGGAGGACUGCCGUAUGCUUCUAUACCUCCCGAGAAACUUUUUAACUUACUGAAAAGUGGGCAUCGUCUCGAAAAGCCAGAGAAAUGUCCAGUAGACAUGUAUUUACUCAUGCUGGAAUGCUGGCAAAGCAACCCUCAGGAACGACCAACAUUUUCUAUCCUUGUCAGGGAGUUGGAAGCAUUUAUAAUAAAUGCUUCAGAUGUGGAAUAUUUAAGUCUUGGCUAUGAAUAUGAAGAAGAGUCAACCGAUGAAUCUUCCGAUGAGACAAAUUCAGAAACUCAGGAAAGAACUGUCAAUGUCAGUUAAUAAUGAUAAUGUGAAAGAUGAAAAUAAGUUAUGUAACAAUCUUAUGCCAUCUUUAGAAAAAGGGGGAAAUUAUUCAUGCAACAGUCUUAUGCCAUCUUUAGAAAAAGAAUGUGCAGUUAAAUAUACAAAAUGCAACCAGACUGCCAAUCACUACAACAGAUUUGCUUCACUACUGUCUUAUAUGUUAACAUUUUCAUUUGAAUAGAAUACUUUUAUUCAUAAUGAAUCCUGUCUACUGGAUAUCAGUUUAUAUAUAAAAUUGUUUUUCUCAUAUGAGUAUAUAUUUGUGAUGUCUUAUUUAUAAAUUAUGUUUGAGCAAUUUUUUUAAGAGCAUGUAAAAUUUAUAUUUAAUUCAAUAUAAGAUCUUUUUAUAAAACUGAAGGAGUAUCCAUAAGCUCUAGUUCAUUGGCUUUUCAAAUGAGCCAGAAAAGGUCUGGUUUGUCAUUUCAUGAUUAAAGCAUCCCGAAUAAAAUAUGUGAGCAAUCAAUUUAUUGAUUAUUAGUCAUGUUCAUCCUAGUCAUAAAACUAGAAAAAUAUAGAUUUAUAGUUUGUUAUGAUGUGCAUAUGAUGAUAAAAAAAUCAUUUUCCAAACUUAGACAAAAUACUAGUAUCCAGUUAUGUGAAAUACGUUUUGUAAAUUACACCAUAGUAGAGUCAUUCGUUAUGUCCACAAUUAGCUGCAAUUUAUUUUGUAUCAUCCACUUUUAUAAAAUGCUUCUCUCUGUACAUUGAAAUUAUUCCUACGAAGUUACAUAUACUAAAUUGCUAAAUAUUGUCAUGUAUGCUAAAAUAAGCAUCUAGCAGUCUAGAUAGUGAUUUAAGAAUAUCUGCAAGUGCAGUUUUAUAUUUAUGCUAUAUAUAAACUGUAGUUAAAAAUUGUAUGGAAGAAAGUACCAUUUGUUAGUUUAAUGUACCCCCUCUUUCUUUGAACCUCAACCAUUUUGAUUAAUUUAGAAAUGCUUAAUAAGGGUUAUAUAUUUAAAAUAUUUUUAUAAAUAAAUACUGUGAUGUAAAGUUCAUGAAAAUUAGAUUUUGUAGAUAUGAUUUGUUAUGCAUUAUGUGUUUUCAUUAUAUAAGUUGUUUCAAAAUUACUGCAUGACUAAAUAUUUGUUGGAAUAGUUAGUUUUCGGCCAGCAGUUGUAAUUUCAGAAAUUAAUCACAUGAUGACUAGUAUCAUCUGACACCUUUUGAUAAAAAUAUAUAAGUUUUAUAAUUUGGCUUUCUGAAAAAAAAGGGGGGGAAGAAAACUUUUUUUAACUCAAGUUUCUUUUUUCUCUCUCUCUCUCUCAUUGGGGGGGGGCAGGGGGAGGUUAGUUUUGUAAUGUGCAGAACUGUCUCUGAGAAAGUUAUCUAAUUUAGAUGACUUGACUACCUUUCUAUCUAAUGAAAAAAAAUUGGCAUAGAUGCCAGUUUUCAAGGGUAGUAUAAAAAAUGAAUUCCAUUAGAUGAAAAAUUUCAAAACUUUUUAAAAAGGGAAUGUGUAAACCUCCCUUAUCUGUUUGUUUUCCUGCAAUAAAAGGUGUUAAGAAUUUCCAUUACGUUUAUGUAAAUUAGAAGAAAAAGAUUAUACCAUUCUGGGAGAAUUCUUUAAAUUGAAUUUUAAAAAGGAGAAACUAUUGAAUUUUAUAGCUCCAAAGUUAGAUAGCUGCAAAUUGGGAAAAAAAAAAAAAAAAAAAAA